rnacentral:rRNA from 1 species
UGAGGGUGCUUGCACCUGAAUGACUCAUUGAAUCACUAGUGGCGGACGGGUGAGUAACGCGUGGGAAACCUGCCCUAUACUGGGGGAUAGCAGUUGGAAACGACUGAUAAUACCGCAUAAGCGCACAGCUUCGCAUGAAGCAGUGUGAAAAACUCCGGUGGUAUAGGAUGGUCCCGCGUCUGAUUAGCUAGUUGGUGAGGUAACGGCCCACCCAAGGCAACGAUCAGUAGCCGGCCUGAGAGGGUGUACGGCCACAUUGGGACUGAGACACGGCCCAAACUCCUACGGGAGGCAGCAGUGGGGAAUAUUGGACAAUGGGGGAAACCCUGAUUCCCAGCGACGCCGCGUGAACGAAGAAGUAUUUCGGUAUGUAAAGUUCUAUCAGCAGGGAAGAUAAUGACGGUACCUGACUAAGAAGCACCGGCUAAAUACGUGCCAGCAGCGGC